rnacentral:rRNA from 2 species
AGACCCGAAACCCGGUGAUCUAGCCAUGGGCAGGUUGAAGGUUGGGUAACACUAACUGGAGGACCGAACCGACUAAUGUUGAAAAAUUAGCGGAUGACCUGUGGCUGGGGGUGAAAGGCCAAUCAAACCGGGAGAUAGCUGGUUCUCCCCGAAAGCUAUUUAGGUAGCGCCUCGUGAAUUCAUCUCCGGGGGUAGAGCACUGUUUCGGCUAGGGGGCCAUCCCGGCUUACCAACCCGAUGCAAACUGCGAAUACCGGAGAAUGUUAUCACGGGAGACACACGGCGGGUGCUAACGUCCGUCGUGAAGAGGGAAACAACCCAGACCGCCAGCUAAGGUCCCAAAGUCAUGGUUAAGUGGGAAACGAUGUGGGAAGGCCCAGACAGCCAGGAUGUUGGCUUAGAAGCAGCCAUCAUUUAAAGAAAGCGUAAUAGCUCACUGGUCGAGUCGGCCUGCGCGGAAGAUGUAACGGGGCUAAACCAUGCACCGAAGCUGCGGCAGCGACACUAUGUGUUGUUGGGUAGGGGAGCGUUCUGUAAGCCUGCGAAGGUGGCCUGUGAGGGUUGCUGGAGGUAUCAGAAGUGCGAAUGCUGACAUAAGUAACGAUAAAGCGGGUGAAAAGCCCGCUCGCCGGAAGACCAAGGGUUCCUGUCCAACGUUAAUCGGGGCAGGGUGAGUCGACCCCUAAGGCGAGGCCGAAAGGCGUAGUCGAUGGGAAACGGGUUAAUAUUCCCGUACUUGGUGUUACUGCGAAGGGGGGACGGAGAAGGCUAUGUUGGCCGGGCGACGGUUGUCCCGGUUUAAGCGUGUAGGUGUGUGUUCCAGGUAAAUCCGGUUCACUUUAACACUGAGGCGUGAUGACGAGGCACUACGGUGCUGAAGCAACAAAUGCCCUGCUUCCAGGAAAAGCCUCUAAGCAUCAGGUAACACGAAAUCGUACCCCAAACCGACACAGGUGGUCAGGUAGAGAAUACCAAGGCGCUUGAGAGAACUCGGGUGAAGGAACUAGGCAAAAUGGUGCCGUAACUUCGGGAGAAGGCACGCUGACA